GUCGCGGGGCCAGUCUCUACGACCUCACCGGCUUCGUGCGGCAUCAUCCGGGGGGCGAGCAGCUGCUGCUGGCGCGGGCUGGCCAGGACAUCAGUGCCGACCUGGAUGGGCCACCUCAUAAACACUCGGACAACGCUCGCCGCUGGCUGGAGCAGUACUAUGUGGGCGAACUGCGAGCGGACCCGCAGGAUCCCACAGAGAACGGUGCUGGAGCCCCUGCAGAGACUCAGAAGACAGAUGCUGCUAUUGAGCCACAGUUCAAAGUGGUAGACUGGGACAAGGACCUGGUGGACUGGCAGAAACCUCUCCUGUGGCAGGUGGGCCACUUGGGGGAAAAGUAUGAUGAGUGGGUUCACCAACCUGUGGCCAGGCCCAUUCGCCUCUUCCACUCAGACCUCAUCGAGGCCUUCUCCAAGACUGUCUGGUGAGCACCAUGCAGGGUGUGAAACGGGCUACCCCCUCCUCUGAUAAUACCGGCAGUUAGGUCCCUCCUUAUAAUACAGAAUAUCUGUAAAUUCCUGUGGAUGGUGGGGCAGGCUAUAUCCAUAAUUAAUUCCUGCACAUGCUUUUAUCUCCUAGUGAGUAGCAUCCUUCCAAUGUGCCUGCACCCGCUCAUU
rnacentral:lncRNA from 1 species